GUCCUGACACUAAAAUGAAAAUAUUAAAGUCAUGAUGAGUCUUGGUGUGUUUGUGAGAGAAUAAAUAUGAAAAUAAAAUAAAGAAAACAUAAAUUAUGCAUAUAAAAUAAAUAGUAUAAAUGAAAUAUGCAUAUAAAUGAACAGAAUAAUAAAAUAUGACUAAAUGAAGAGUAUAAAAGAAUAUGUAUAUAAAAUACAUAAAACAGAGUAGUGUGCUUAUAAAGUAAGUAGAAUAACUGGAAUACAGUAUAAUUAAAUAAAUAAAGGGUGUAAAUGAGCAUUUAAAAUAAAUAGUAUAGUAUAAAUAAAUAUGCAUAUGAAAUAAGCUGCUAAAUAAAUAAAACAAAAAUAAAAUUAAUUUAAGUUAAUAUGCAUACAGAAUAAUUAAAAUACAGUGUAUAAAAAUAAAUUGUAUAUAGAAUAAAUACAUUAAUAAGUAUAAAUAAAUAUGCAUGUAAAUUAUAUAUUCGUCAUACUUCCAUAUUGUUGAGGAACGAGAAGAACAGGAGCACACGAACAACAAUAGUCUUUUAAUCCAAAAUAUCCAGGAAGUAACACUUGGCAGACGGUAACACAGGAAACACAGGGUUGACGUUCAAUCUCCAACAAACACAAACUGAAAGGACUGAGGCUUUUAAACAGGAUAAUGGGGAAGAACGAAACACACAUGGGAAUCAAAUUAACAAUUAGAGGAACAUAGGUGCAUGGAAUGACUAGUUAACAGGGUCACGGAACACAUGGGGAGCAAAACCACAACAAAAACAGUACAGGGGCAUGACAAUAUGUAAAUAAAUAUGAAUAUAUAAAUACAUGGAGUAAAAGUAAAUGUGCUUAUAAAUAAAAUGCAGUUUAAAUAAAGCAUAAAAUACAUACAAAAAAAAGUAAAAAAAAAAAUAAAAUAUGCAAGAAAAGACAAAUGUAACUUUAUUACAGGGACAAAAAAAUAAAUAAAUUAAAAAAUCAAUGGAAUAAUUCACAAUAUGUUUUUCUCUAUAAAAAAUAUUUAUCAUAGUAAACCAGUUUAUCCCCAGUUCAGGCAGAUUUUAAACCAUGGUUGUAGGUCACCGCUGAUUCUCACCAUUUGUAAAUCUGUAAACACAUGCAAUGCUUCAUUUACUAUCAAGAUUAAUGCAACAGAAAUCAUCAUGUUUAUAAUAUAGUUAUAAUCUCAUCUGUUUAUGUCCUUCUUCUCUUUCUGCAG
ensembl:lncRNA